GAUGAACGCUGGCGGCGUGCCUAAUACAUGCAAGUCGAGCGCAGCGGGGACGGGUGAGUACCACGUGGAUAACCUCCUAUAAGACUGGAAUAACUUCGGGAAACCGGAGCUACACGUGAUACUAUUAGAUGGAUCCGCGCUGGAUGCGCUAGUGGGUAAGGUAACGGCUUACAAAGGAAACGCUGCAUAGCCGACCUGAGAGGGUGAGCGGCCACACUGGAACUGAGACACGGUCCAGACUCCGACGGGAGGAAGCAGUAGUGAAUCUUCGGCAAUGGGCGAAAGCCUGACGGAGCAACGCCGCGUGAGUGAUGAAGGUCUUCGGAUCGUAAAACUCUGUUAUUAGGGAAGCGGUACCUAAUCAGAAAGCCACGGCUAACUACGUGCCAGCAGCCGCGGUAAUUC
rnacentral:rRNA from 1 species